GUAGUUAGCCGGGGCUUCCUCCUUGGCUACCGUCACUUUCUUCGUCACCAAGGACAGAGGUUUACAAUCCGAAGACCUUCUUCCCUCACGCGGCGUUGCUGGGUCAGGCUUUCGCCCAUUGCCCAAUAUUCCCCACUGCUGCCUCCCGUAGGAGUCUGGACCGUGUCUCAGUUCCAGUGUGGCCGAUCAGCCUCUCAGCUCGGCUACCCAUCGUUGGCUAGGUGGGCCGUUACCCCGCCUACUACCUAAUGGGACGCGAACCCCUCCUUCUGCGGAUUGCUCCUUUGACCCCUGAGCCAUGCGACUCUGUGGUCUUAUGCGGUAUUAGCAGUCGUUUCCAACUGUUGUCCCCCUCUGAAAGGCAGGUUACUCACGCGUUACUCACCCGUUCGCCACUAACUCGGUCCCCGAAGGGGCCUCGUCCGUUCGACUUGCAUGUGUUAGGCACGCCGCCAGCGUUCGUCCUGAGCCAGGAUCAAACUCUGA
rnacentral:rRNA from 1 species